CCUACGGGAGGCAGCAGUGAGGAAUCUUUGUCAAUGGGCGCGAGCCUGAACCAGCAAAGUAGCGUGAAGGAUGACUGCCCUACGGGUUGUAACCUUCUUUUAUAACGGAAUAAAGUGAGGCACGUGUGCCUUUUUGUAUGUACUUUAUGAAUAAGGAUCGGCUAACUCCGUGCAAGGAGCCGCGGUAAUACGGAGGAUCAGAGCGUUAUCCGGAUUUAUUGGGUUUAAAGGGAGCGUAGAUGGGUUGUUAAGUCAGUUGGAAAAGUUUGCGGCUCAACCGUAAAAUUGCAAUUGAUACUGGCAGUCUUGAGUACAGUUGGGGUAGGCGGAAUUCGUGGUGUAGCGGUGAAAUGCUUAGAUAUCACGAAGAACUCCGAUUGCGAAGGCAGCUUACUAAACUGCCACUGACAUUGAUGCUCGAAAGUGUAGGUAUCAAACAGGAUUAGAUACCCGAGUAGUC
rnacentral:rRNA from 1 species